AACGUAGGUGGCAAGCGUUAUCCGGAUUUACUGGGCGUAAAGCGUGUGCAGGCGGGCCACCAAGUGGUGUGUGAAAUCGCUCGGCUAAACCGGGCGGGGUUAUGCCAGACUGGUGGUCUAGAGUGCGAGAGAGGGGCGUGGAAUUCCGGGUGUAGUGGCGAAAUGCGUAGAGAUCCGGAGGAACCCCAGAGGCGAAGGCGGCGCCCUGGCUCGCAACUGACGCUCAGACACGACAGCAUGGGGAGCGAACGGG
rnacentral:rRNA from 1 species